rnacentral:lncRNA from 1 species
UACAACAACAACAACAACAACAACAAACCCAGUGUAUUCCCACUUUGUGGGGUCUGGGGGGGGUAAGAUGUACGCAGUCCAUACCUCUACCUCUGAUGAAGUAGAAAGGCUGUUUCCGAAAGACCCCCGGCUCAAGUUACGAGAUAUCAAACAAACACAUAGUACAGCACAGAAGCAGAUGACAUAACAUAGAUACUGCAGCCAUAAGGAAUAUAAAACAGAGUAAAGCAGGGAUGCAGGAAUAUAAAGCAGAGGAAAGC